rnacentral:rRNA from 1 species
UACGUAGGGGGCAAGCGUUAUCCGGAUUUACUGGGUGUAAAGGGAGCGUAGACGGCAGGGCAAGUCUGGAGUGAAAGGCAGGGGCCAACCCCUGGACUGCUCUGGAAACUGUCCGGCUGGAGUGCAGGAGAGGUAAGUGGAAUUCCUAGUGUAGCGGUGAAAUGCGUAGAUAUUAGGAGGAACACCAGUGGCGAAGGCGGCUUACUGGACUGUAACUGACGUUGAGGCUCGAAAGCGUGGGGAGCAAACAGG